GAAAAAUUAUAAAAAAUAAUAAAAACUAACUUAAAAUGCUAAAGUUACCUCCUAAAAUACUAUAAAAAUUAUGCUAAAUUAACUCUAAAUAUAAGAGAUAUCACUCAUCGAGAUUCAUUGGCUCCUAUUGGAUAUCUUGCACCAAUCUAAACUAUCAUUUCACUCACUUAUAUGUUAUCACUCGACGAUGUAGAAGAUUAUUAGCGAUCUUGACCCUCUCCCAAAAUUAUCAUGCUCGUAUUCUUCCAAUGGCACAAUGACAAUUGUAAUGACCAAUUUUGGCCCGGGCCCGCGAAAACCCCAAUCACACAUAUACAUAUAAAAUAUCUACAAAUAAAUAAAUGAAUAAAAUAAAGUCCAUUUAGUUAGUGUCCUAUUACAAGCCCAAACAGUCCAAUAAAAUUAAUACCCUAGCCCAUUUACAAAACAGUCCAAAGCUUCAAGGCCCAAAAUAGCCCAAAAGCUGAAACAACUUCAGUAACCCUAGGUCACUCCUCCUUCUUGCGCCGCAACAGCAAUCGGACAGCAGCUCCGUGCCUCCGUACGCCCUAAUGUUUUAGAAGCCACGCCCGCGCCAGCGCAGUCCCGUACCCGAGCGCCAUGCACCCUGUACCUGCAAAGAACGGACAAACGCACAACAAAACAAACAAAACAACGAAGAAUAUUGUAUUUUUCGAUUUAUUUUUUAUCAUUUUUACCCCGAUUCGGCUAUAAAGCCAAGGGAUUUCACCAGUUGUAAGAAAGGAGGCACACAAUCAAUACAUUUGAAAUACCAAACACAAAAGAAAUUAAAAGGUGAGAUUCAGAUUCCGGGUUCCUUUUUUUUUUCUUUUUUCGUUUCCCCCUAUUUUCUUGAACAAAGAAAAAUCAAAGAGAAAAGAGACAAAAGCUUUACCUUCGUGAGUGCGCCUUGGAGAUCUCCAUCCCCUUCGUCGAUAUCGAAGGCGGAGAGAGGGCUUUGUGGCUAAAGUCAUUAAACUGUGGAGUCCAGUAGAAAGAAGGCCCCACCGCAGGCUUUUAUCCAUCAAUCGUCGUGGUGGAUUAAAGGUCGAACGGCGGCUGAAUGAGGGCAAGUACUUAGGGUUUCGACUUUCCUUGUCUGCUUUGCUAAAAUACUUUGAUGUUUGGGCCGAUUUUCCCUUCUACUUGAAUGCAUGGAGUGACGCCGUUUCAGGCUAAGUUCAAUAGCCUUUGAAACGACGCCGUAUGGACCCAUCUGGCAUGACCCGCACGCGUGUGACCUGACCCGGGGAGGAUCCGCGUGCUUCCCAUGAAUGGGAAAUUUGCCUCUUAAGUCCUUCCCUUUUGCCCCGCGUUUAAACCAGCCCAUCUGCGCUUUUUUUUGCUUUUUAAUUUCUUCCUAUAAUUUGCUCUAUUUCGCAAUCGAGUCCGUGCUUGUGCGCAGCGUUUUAGGGCAUGGAUUAAUUCCAUUCUGGGCCCCUACGCAUUUGUGCGUUUCGCACUUUGGUCCCCUUUUUGAUUACUUUAUUUAUAAAUUAG
rnacentral:lncRNA from 1 species